rnacentral:rRNA from 1 species
UACGUAGGGUGCAAGCGUUGUCCGGAAUUAUUGGGCGUAAAGAGCUCGUAGGCGGUCUGUUGCGUCGGCUGUGAAAACCCGGGGCUCAACUCCGGGCCUGCAGCCGAUACGGGCAGACUAGAGUUCGGCAGGGGAGACUGGAAUUCCUGGUGUAGCGGUGAAAUGCGCAGAUAUCAGGAGGAACACCUGCGGCGAAGGCGGGUUGCUGGGCUGACACUGACGCUGAUGCGCGAAAGCGUGGGGAGCAAAACGG